AGAUUUAUCUUCUCAAUUUUCAGAUUUUCUAUGCACUCUUUUCUGCAAUUGUUGGCUUCUUGCUUGGGGCAAGUGAUGGUCUAGCAAGAUUCAUUCUGUUGAUGCUGUUCAUGAGCUUUUUGAGCAGUUUCCUGAAGCUUUCAUGAAGUAUCUUCAUGUGCCAACCAAAGAGAGUUCUUUUUAUGCUUCCAAUCAGGUGAGUCGACCAUUAUAUUUGGAGCGUUGUGAUUACGUAUUCUUCUAAUUGAAUUUAUGCAAUCUUUGCUGUUAUAUUUAACACUUUUUAUGAAUAAAGAUGGAAUGUCUAUGAUUCCACAUGUAAUAUGCUUCAAUUUUUCCACUUGGUGUGUUAGACUUAUCCUUUAUUUUGUGUAUAUCAUU